UCUUGAACCACAUCUACCACGAGUUCUCUUGCAGGGCUUGUAGUACCCCCGCACCAGGCUGUCCCCCGUUCUGCACCCACCGCAGCCACCCGGGCAGCGACAUGGGGACGCACAGGUGCCAAUGGCUUUGGAGGACGACGUAGUGGUCACGUUCUCAGGCCAGGACUGGAGAGAGAGAGUUUGAAUUUUGUACUAUCACAGGCUUCCUAUGGGAGCCCCUGUUCUCUCCCAAAUAAAGCACGUGGUGCUUCAGGUUCGGUCUCUGUGAAAACAAGGCAAUUUGUAGUUUUUCAUAUUGAUUCAGCGCAAAAGUGAAAAAUUCUGGCCUUUAAAAGUUAUAUUGUCUCAAGGAUUUUAUUACUAUUGAGUUAGUAACCUGAGGUAAGAGCCGGCCUCUCUUCCGGCUGAGGUUCCAGCUGGAUUUUGGAGGUCAGCCACAGCCGAAUGCCCAGCGAGCGCCUUUGUGUUCCUGUGAAACGAGAACAAGACCUCAUUUACCCCCCCCGCCAGGAAAAGGAGACUUCAUUUAUUCAUGUCCACAACGAGCUUGGAAGAGGCAAAGUGCUUCUUUGCUUCAGCACGUUAACAUUGUUAAUCACUAACAAAUAUUAUCGUUUUUCCAGGCUUUAAACUCUGCUCUGCUGAUAAGGCACAGCAUUUCAAAGCAGCCAGGCCACCUUCUGCUCCGGGGUGGGUCCUGCUCCCAUGGUGAUGCUGUGGUAGAUACAGGUCACCUCACCCAAUCUCGUGAUCCAAACAGGUUUGGAUCAGCAAAAUGCACCUUCGCUUUCACUUUCUGAUAAGAGCGGUGAAGUUUGCAGCUCCCAGAGAAUCAGAGGGAGGAUUCUGCCAUGGCACAUUGGAGAUGACCACUGCCUGUUUCAGCUUCCUUGGAAGAGGGGAGGUCACCUUCUGAAACAAACACCAUUCCUUUGCAUUUAGCUCCCUGAGACUCUCUGGGACCCACCAAGCAGCUGUUUACGGCCUCUUCAUUUUUUUUCCUUCUCACCUGGUCAGACCGGCCAGACUCGGAGGAGAGGCGGGUAUCACGCGGAAGCAUUUCUGGUUCGGUAUCUAGGAAGAAAACUGAAAAGGACUGUGGAAGAGAAUGAAAAGAAGACGUGCCUGCAAGUAGAGAAGAAUAAAUCAGCCCAUGUCUGCGGACUGCUGCUCUCCAAAGAGCUUCCGAACACACCUCGGGAAGGGAUCUAGGGGAACAGGCACUGCGCUCGCAGGACGCACCCUGCUCCAUGCACCGGCAGCGCAUCACAGGUGGGAAACUUCACCCAGCAGCACUGGGAAAAACGCAGGGAGUGCGGGCAAGGUCCACAAAACAGGAUGAGGACGUGUAAGUUUCCUCCAAGGAAAAAGAUGUAGAAGGGAAAAAUAUAAUCCAGAGUAAGGAUUUGUAAGCGUUGUCCUACAAGGACUGUCCUGGGAGAAGAGUGGUUGUGGGUGAUGGGUAGGCAGCUGCACAGGCAGCUCCACUCCCUUCCUGCCCCGUUCCUCCCUCUAGUGCUUGUUCGUUUACCUGUUGGGGCAUUAAAGACUCAUCAUAGCUAUAAACUCCCGCAGAGCUCUCCUUAAUCACCAACUAAGAACACUACACAAGUCGCUGAUGCCUGUAUUUUAAAAGCCAUUAUUGGGCCGGUAGUAAUACUAUUACUGCAUUAGCGAACUCCUUCAGCGAUGUCGUUUUAAUCACCUUAGUGUAUAAUGUGGACCUGGUUCUCCUGGUGUACCAAGGGCUGUCCCUCCAACAUAGCCCUCUCUUGGGGUGCGCGGCUUGGAGCCAGCGACUAAUGGUUUCUUCUUCUGGUGUCUGCAAGCCUGGAUGCCUUUCUGAUACUGCCAUCGCGGUCAAACACAGAUGACCGGGCUCAGCGCAGGGAGGAAGGAGGUGAAAUGGAGUGGCCUGUGAUAUACAGAGAAUCGCAGCUGCUCUCCGAGCCCAGCCUGGCUUUCCGCUCCGUGGGUCUGUGUCGCCUGCCACCCAGCCCCAGCUGCCCCUUCCCAAGGCGGGAGGUAAUGAGAAGGGACUAACCGCAUUGAUUCAUUAAGCCGGGUUUGUUAGAAGACAGAUUGUCAUGUUAAACAAAUAUAUUUUUAAAAAACUAAAUAUCGUUCCCUGGGCCGUGCCCCAUCUGGGCCAUUAAAUCUGAAAGGGGUAACUACAGCUGUGUCAAAGCGGGGCUCAGAAGCUGAUUUUCGCUAUUUGUACUACUAGCAAUUGGCAAUAACUCCGUUUUCAAACAUCGUUUUCUUCUCCUCGUUUCCCAGCGCUGCACUAUGUAGAUGGCAAGCACGGCAGGGGGAUGCACAAUGCUAAACAAAACAGUCUUUGCGACUUACAAAAAGAGACCCCACAAACGCAUUUUCUAAAUCCAUCACAUCCUCUUUAUUUCUCACCAGCCCCUAAGUUACCUGAUGACAGAGGAUGGGAAAAGCUGCCCAUCGUUAGCCAGAUGGCUUUUCGUAAAUUAUGCAAAUUUUAUCAAUCUAGUGAAAAGGUGGUAUGGAAACGAAGCGGGACAGCUCCGCUUUCAGGGCUCUAGCGCCACAAGUUUCCGACUUGCGAGAAAGCAAGCAUCUUCUUCUAGGGGAGGGGAGAAAAAACAACAACUUUGAGUUAAUCCAGCGUUUCUUUCGAUUGGCCCCUUGGUAGUCUGAUUAAUUUUGAGUGCAGAUGUUUAGACUUUCCCUCGCAGAACACACCCAGUGCUUGGGAGCAGGCUCACCCUGCCGUAUUUCCUCCUUGCCACACCGUUCGUGUUACGGUUGUGCAGCAACAUAUGCUAAGGCCUUAUUACAAGGGAUUCCUAUAAAUGGCAUAAAGGAUUAAUAAUGUAUUUAUAACACAACUUUGUUUUAGUAUAAAGUGAUCUAUAAAUUUGUAAUAAAUGUUUUAUAAUGUUUUUGUAGCCUGUUAUAAAUGAUAAAUGGGAGACUAUAGAUGCCACAUCAAAUAUUCAUGCUGCAUUGUGUGCAUUAUUAUGCCGUUACUGUUCAGGAAACCAUUAAUAAUAAAGUGAAUGGAGAUGUAAAAGUUGCUGACAUGCCCAGCAAGCCAUUUAUAAUGAAAUGUAUAAUCCUUACCAUAAAGUAAAUACAUUGGCCAGUGAUUGUUGAUGAAAUGGAAACACACUGAAUUAUUUGUGAGGUAUUUAUAUAUUAAUGUAUAUUAUCCAUAUCAUGCCAUAGA